AUGCGCAUAACCUCAGGAUAUAAAUAAUGCUGAAGCAGAGUUACGUUUUUUUGUUUUUUUUUUUUUUAGGUUUCCGUAUGUUUCUAUUGAGCUGCUCAGUGCCCGGCUUAGAAGACCAGGAAAAGGAGUCACAGGUCGUAUGUUGGAGGCUUGAGCCGCGGCACCAUGGCGCGGCUCGCCUCGCUGCGGUUGGUGGUGGCGGUGGACAUUGCAGCGCAGCUGGAGGGGUGAGAUAUUCCUGCACAUCCUCUGGUGACCCCAGAAUGAGGGGGACUCGCUGGUGAAUUGCCUCGGGCUUCACAUCCAGUACAGGCUGGGUCCCCGUGGUCGCCAAGCCUCCUGCCUGCUCAAUGAUGUAGGCCACGGGAUUGCAUUCAUACAGGAGCCGGAGCUGUGGAGGAACAGAGGCAGGACAAAUUCACCAAGAGCCUAGCAACAUGAAGAGAGAUGCCAGGAAGAAGAGAGAAGCCAGGAAACAGAAGCCAACCGCACGAUCCCCACAUCAGAGCAGGAGAAGAUGGGGGCUUGCUGGCAGAGCUGGGGCUUGGCUGUGGUCACUCUGAGCCUGCUCUUUGGUGUUUUCAUGAGUGGUGGGAAGAAUAGGGACCAUAUGGAGCCCACACAGGAAGCUCUAGCAGUAACAGCAAGCAGGAAGACAAUUCUAAGGAAGCAGCCCAUAGUCUUCUUUCUUUUCCUUUGCAUCUUCCACUGUCAGUGAGACUCCUCAUUUAUGGUGAACCCAACUGUGUGUAUCUCCCAAGUUCUCACCCCCAGAUUAAUGUUUUCAGGAAGAUAGGCCAUCAACAGUGAGAGGAAGAAGUUACAUUGUUGUAUGAGGGAUGCAUUUUAACCAUUAAUUUGUGGUACAGGCUGGGCGCAGUGGCUUACACAUGUAAUCCCAGCACUUUGGGAGGCCGAGGUGGGUGGAUCACGAGGUCAGGAGAUCAAGACCAUCCUGGCUAACAUGGUGAAACCCCGUCUUUACUAAAUAUACAAAAAAUUGGCCGGGCGUGGUGGUGGGCACCUGUAGUCCCAGCUACUCGGGGGGCUGAGGCAGGAGAAUGGUGUGAACCCGGGAGGCGGAGCUUGCAGUGAGCCGAGAUCGUGCCACUGCACUCCAGCCUGGAUGACAGAGCAAGACUCCAUCUC
rnacentral:sRNA from 1 species